GCAACAUUGAAGCAUAGCAGAUCGUUUUAAAGACAGUACUCUCUCCCUGUUUAUUGCAAGAAUCUACUACUAAUCUCAGGUAAGCAGGCUGUUGUCAUAAAAAUGGAAUGUGAAAACAUCCACAUAGAUGGUCUACUUUGAAUUUUCUUAAUUUUAAACGUUAGAUUUGCAACACACUGAAUGAAAAGCCGACUUCAUCAAAGAAGUAGAAUUUCUCUUUUAUUUCUUACCUAGCUACUCAUUUCAGAAGCCUGUUUUUUCCAGGAAAUUCCUGCGCUGAGUCUAGGGUUCAAUCUUACACACAUACUUUCCAGCAUAUGAUCCUAAAUAAGCUGCGGAAUGAUAAGAUGAACAAAAGCAACACCAGAGGGUUGCUUUUCUUGCUUUCUCUUCUUUUCAAAAAGGAACAAUAGGUUUAUUGUGCAGGCCUCCAAAUCACAAAGUAGCUUACGAAAACUGCAGGUUCGAAGGUAGUUGAUGUUUCACUGUAGUUUAAAAGCUCUUUCCAAGCUUAGACUAACACGUCGAUAGUUGAAAACUAUCUGGACAUGUUAUAUGUUCUGGAUGUUAAUCUGAGGCUUUCAAGAGGACCUAUACCUUUAGACCUUCACAUUAGCCAACUGGCCUUAAAUCCCUCCUAGAAGAAGGCAGGGUAGAAAUCAGCCCAUUGGUUAAAUUAAAUCAAAUUAAUACAGUUGAUCCACAUUUGUUGAGACAGCUUUGAAUCUAGAGUAUCUGUUCCUCUUAUCUACUGAGCCUCAUUAAAGAUGCAACUGCCCAAAGCAACUUUAUGAGUGAUAUACCCUGAAAUGAUACAAAUUAAAUGAUUUCUUAGGGCAAUGUGAAAGAGCUUCCAGAUAAUUUUACAAUGUAAUGAGUCAAAAGCACUAACUUCAUUUUGCCGCUGUCUUUUUCUGUGUAAAAAGAUGGAAUUUGUUUUUUUCUGGAGAGAGAGUUACCAUACGAUGGUUUGCUUACAUUUUAUUUUCAUGUGAACAUAAACAUCUCCCAACCUCAGAAUUUCACAUAGAUGUCAGACGAAGGAAGGCUCUGCUAUGAAAACUAAUGUUUGCCGUCAAAUAAACUACCAGAGCCAUUGGCCACUGUGAAUGAUGAUGGGUUUUCUGGGACUUACACCAUUUUAGUGCCCACUGAGGAUAAAUUUUGGGCACUUCCAGUACAUGGAUAAACUGGGGAUAUACAGUUGUCCUGAGCACUGAAUCGACUAUGGUGUUUUUCCAGGGAGUUUGUUCAAAAUGAGUCUUCAAGGCUUCAAACCAUUGGGCCCAGAUCUCAUAUGCUUAUGAGACCUCAUGUGUUUUAUAAGAAGAUAUAACCAAACUGCAUGUUGUCUUUUUUCCUCCCCUGCUUCCUUUUAAAUCUCUUUUGCGUUACUUCUUUUAGUUUGUUCCCUUGCUUUAAAAUUUAUAUGAACCAUCGUCUUAGAAUAUUAUUUUAAAUUUCAAAGGAGGCCUUGGAUUUGAAAACAGUUUUUUAAUUUCCCCCACAUUUGGUCUGGGUGGUGAUUGUACUAAAUCAGCCUUUUACGGAAACACUAUCAUUAAAAACUUCUCAUGGUCUCUAGGGACAGGAUUUGGAAGCACAACACAAGCCUUUCUGAUUAGGGCUCUGGGAACUCCCACUUUGUUUGCAAUGGUUUUGUUUUGUUUUUGAUUUAUAAUAACUUCCAGCGAAUGGUCCUGUUUUAGAGCUAUUUAAAGAAAUUCUAAACUAAAAUUGUAAAGGAACUGGAUGAAAAACAUUAACAAAAAACAUUAACACAAUAAAUAAAUUUGUGUCCCCACCCCCAGCAGUGCACAAUCCUUCAAACCUUCCUCCUUAUUUUUACCCUUUUCUUUGAUUUGACUUGCUGCCGCCCUUAGCCUCCCUCCUCACCCUCAGGGGGCCUGGCCAUUUCUCUGGGCUUUAGAGGCUUGUAGCUGCUUCCUUUCAUUCUUUCUCCUGUAAUCCUCCAAGCUCUCGGUUCUGUUUCACCCUCCCACUAACUUUUCUUGUUUUCCAUUGCCUGAUCUUCCUGCGGGCCGCUCCACCAUCUUUCUCUUCAUUUCCUUUACCCUGAAGCUCAGAGGCCUCUUUUCCUUGCCUUCCAGUUCAUUCUGCUACUAAUCAGAAGCCACCUCUUAAUCUUGGAGGCUUUCUUUUUGUUUUUCUUUUUUUUUCAGAAAUCAAUUCAAAUCUGGACUGAUGGUUUUGUGGAACUCUCAGAGCAGGAGUUUCCUGACCUAGCGAAGCAAACAACAGAGCAUAGCAUCCUAGGUUUCAGAAGGAAUUGUUCUGGCUUAAGGAGGAUAACUAAACAUGCCUCUCCCCACUACAAGCUAUGAAAAAUAGAUAGGGGAGGCAGAUGGGAGCUCAAAAUAUGAGCUAUUGAUAAAUAUUGAUACUUAUUGAUAAAGCUGGACUAGAGACCCUGGCUUGACCCGUGGUCAGAACCAAGCUUCCACCUUAAACUGUCCCAUCUGGUCACUGGCAGAGCAGCCAGGCAACCAAAUAUUGAGAACCCUCCCCAGGUACCUCACAGCAUGGAGGAGGGACAAAUGUGAGGCUGCUGAGAGCUCUCGUGUUUCAACCUUGGCGAUGCCCCUCUCAUACUGUUCCCUCCAGGAACAUUAUGCAAAUGCAAGUACACAGCUAAUGCUGAUGCUCAGCCCCUAAUUUUAGCCAUUAGAUCAAAUCAUGUGUAAGAAUUAAUUUAAAUUAACCUAUCCCUUUACCUAAGCCAUCAAUACAAUUUUAUAAAAUUCUGACUGAACACUCGGUAACUUUAUGAGCACCAAGGAUGCAAAAGUGAAUUGGGCACAGACAACUUAGGCCAACAUGGUACAGAUUCAGGAAAGUUAUACAUAAUUGUAUGCAAAAAUAUUGUCUAGGAGUCCCGUAUGAAAAAUCCUCACGGAGAAAGCGAUCUUUGUUUGGUAAGUGCUUUUAUAAAUUCAUUUAGGCAGAAUAGACGGGUUUUGUAAAGCUUGAAACAUAUAGAAUUUGGAGGGCCCUUUCUGAUAGAAUAUAAAAUUAUGAAUUUAAAAUCAGGUUCAAAAGUUAAUGUCUAGGAUGAGAAUAGAAAUCACAAAAGAAUUCCUAAGGCCUUGGAGAUACAGGUCCCUUGCUUCUGAGAUCUUUUGAGGCAUUUUCUCAGAAAUGCUCCACAUUUGCCCCUUGGUUUCUUGCUCCACCUGGAACACUCUACAGCUCCCAGUGACUCCCAGAACUCAGAAGGAGUGUGCAAGUGGUGCCUGAAACUUAAGUGUCAAUGGCUUCAGGGUCAAUCUGCUAUAGGGUAAAUUUCCAGAGUUUGAGUGUGAUUGGACCAUAUCUUUGAAUAGUGGGGGGAUAACUUUGCAAAAAUGAGAGGGGCAUGGAAGAACUCUAUACCAUACAGUGUACCAUGAUGGCCUCCCAUACCCCCACCAAUCUUCAGGAAAAACUACCAACAUCACUUUAGGCCCCUUGUGUUUGUGUUUGUGUUUCUUAUGAAAAUGGGUGAAAAAUUACUUCGGCGUCUUGGUUGGUGUGGGAUCAAAACGGAGCCGAGAAGUGAAUAAACAUGUAAAUUAUCUACGUUGCAGUAUCUUCGAUGCCAUGAUAGAUUUUUAUUGGAACUAUGCUUAUAAUAUAUAACAGUAUAUACACCAAACCCUUACAAAAUAUAACACACACUCAUAUAUUGUAAGGAUAUUUACAUUUGCAUCUGGUACUAGAUUAAUUUAUGCCAUAUCUCAAACUGAAAAUAUCUAAAAUCAUUAAUUUUUUUCCUGAAGGUUUCUCAUGUAUUUCAGACCUCAGUUAAUGUCACUUACAUCCAUGCCAUCCCUCCAAACCAGAAUCCAAAGUCACCAAGUCUUGUCUGUUGCACUAACGAUGUAAGAUUUGUUCCCCUCUUCCCUGUCUUGACCAGUGGGUGCCCUUUUAAAGAGCCCUGCUGUCUCCUAAGAUGAUGAAGGCUGCCAUGGUAGACAGAAUAGUGCCCCGCCCCCACCAAAGAUGUCUACAUCCUAGUCCCUGGAACCUGCUUUCUUCUUUUCUUUGUGUUGAUGCCGAAUUCUAGGAACCAACCUAGAACGAAGAGGCAUCCCAGGUGAAUCUAACGAUCAGCUCAAUUUGAGAACUGAAACUACUGAUUCGGCAUUUGCCAUAUGCUGCCUCGUCUGCUAGUCAGCCUUCCUCAUUCGGGCCC
ensembl:lncRNA